rnacentral:sRNA from 1 species
AAUUGCUGAAUCAUAGUUGGAAAAAAUCAUAGUCAGCCACACCAUUCACACGUUGAAGAAGGAAUGACAAACCAAAGAGGCAUUGAGGAGGGACAGCAAAUGAAGCAAAAAAAAACCAAAAGCAACAAAAGAACAUAUUGAAGUACACGUAAAUGUUGAUUAGAUAACAGCAAGGAAAAUGGAAACACCAACCAACAAAAACAACAUCACCAACAACAACAUGAACAACGAAAAAGAGAAUAAAAUUUCUAAGCACCAAGAAUUAAAUUGAUAAAAACGAAAGGAAAACGAAAGAACGAGAAAAAACAUUAACAUACUUUUAGGCGGUAUACUGUAAAUACAAAUUAAAGCAUAUUUUUAGGCAUUUCAUUACAACAUCAAACGAAUUGCUGGUGUAGUGACAAUGUACACGAGUGUAUAUGUCCAUUUGGGGAAUAUCAUCGUGCUGGAGACUCAAAUAGUAUUGGAUUGGUUACUACGAAGAAUACAUGCUGACGACGCGCCCUAAUGACACCAAUACACAUCGCUUUAAAGAGAGCAGCAAAACACUUCGUAAUAAACACGAACGUGAAACAACGACCAAAUCAAUACACAUCCGAGUGUGAGCUUUUGACUCGGUGUGACUUUGUGAAGAAGCAAAAACAAAAAACGACACACUAUACACAUACCGAUAUAUGAACACGUGAAAUGAGAUACCCCCAAGACGGUGUUGCCAUAUUGGUCUUAUUGACUUAAAAUAUAGAUGGAUUUUGGAAGAAAAUUGAAAAAAAAACCAAUUCUUUUGGACGAUUACCAUUUAAAAGCAACACCUAAAAUCUAAUCCGCAUAGGAUAAGAAUUUUAAUUUCGGAAAAGGGAAAUGGAAAGGCGUGAGUAUGAACGAAUCCAAAUUUUAAGGAUUCGGAGUGAAGUCUUUGGCACAGGCACCACUUCCGGCUGAGACAAAGAGUAACAUCAGAGAUAAGUUUGAGUGCAUAGGAAAUUCGGUUCAGGAACUGAACUACUGAACGAACUGAACUACCGAAAGAACUGAACUACUGAACUAGUGAACAAACUGAGUCAAGUGUACGAACUAUAAUAAUUAAUGAACUGAACUAUUUAACGAACUAUUGUAAACAAAAUGAAAUAGAGAACGAACUUAAUUACCGAAUGAA